rnacentral:rRNA from 1 species
UACGAAGGGGGCUAGCGUUGCUCGGAAUUACUGGGCGUAAAGGGCGCGUAGGCGGACAGUUUAGUCAGAGGUGAAAGCCCAGGGCUCAACCUUUGAAUUGCCUUUGAUACUGGCUGUCUUGAGUUCGGGAGAGGUGAGUGGAAUGCCGAGUGUAGAGGUGAAAUUCGUAGAUAUUCGGCGGAACACCAGUGGCGAAGGCGACUCACUGGCCCGAUACUGACGCUGAGGCGCGAAAGCGUGGGGAGCAAACAGG